CCCCUGCGAAAUGGGCCAAGCAUAGCACAAUUCUGGCUCUCAAUUGCUUUUGCUCCCAAAACAAACGGAAGCCUUUCAUUCCUCAACUGGUCGGCAGGUGACGCAAAGUUUAAGCUUGCAACGAGACGCAGCUGCAGGCGUCUAGCGGGCGGUUUCUGAUACGGGCGGCAUUCUCCGAUGUCGGCGGUUUCCCUGAUUUCCUCAUUUGAGACACUCACCGGGACGAAGAGGGUUCGCGAGGCGCCGAUGCUUUCUGCUGACCGACGCGGUACGUCCAGCCAAAUUACGUCAAAUCGCCAGUUUGAGACACAACUUCGACGACGGUGACGUGCUUUUUCCCCAAAGCGUAAUUGCAGCCGCGACAGGCCCCAAAGCUGCCGCUGCUGCGAUGAGAGGACCAAGGCGAGGCACGUAAAAGACGAUGACUUCAUGGUGGAAAACACACGCAACACAAACAUACACGGGCACGGGCACGGGCACGGGCACCUCCUCGGGGUGGACAAUGACACCUUUAAAGUCUUUCCAAACGUUUCGACUCUCCAGUCGGUCCCGCGACCACAACACUGUAUUUGCGUUCAAAUAUGCAUCGGUUAAAGGGUUAUAACACAUCGACUACCGAUGCUAACGUUAGCUCGUAUGUGGCAUUUUCCAUUAUGUGUUAGCAUCAAGCGAGCGGGGACGCUUCUUAAGGCAACUUUGCUUUGGUUGUUUUAAAAGGAAACCGUGUCAUUUGAUUUGUUUGUUUGUUGUUCACUAUU